UGCAUACAUUUGUUUUCUUUAUUAUUUCAUUUAUCAAUCUCUCAAACCUAUCUAACCUCUCGCCUCUCUUUCUCUCUAUAGGUCUCUAACCCUUUUCUCUUGCAUAUGUUUGGCACUAAAAGCUCGAUGAAGACGACGUCGGGACUUGACGACGCGAGGGAUUGACAAUCUGUCUCGCUGCUUUCGUCCUUACAGGUCCGGCAAUGUGCGGGGUCAAGGCUGGGUGAUCGGUAGUGCACGAGGUCAGGAUGGUGUUCAUUCAACCACUCGUUUGCCACAAUGGUACUAGAAUGGUGAUGGUUAACAUUUUAAAUUUCGGCAUCGUCUGCGGUCACACGGGUUUAGAGGUUGGGAAAUCAGUUGCUUGGGUUCAGAGAUUGGGUUAAGAGAUUGAGUUCAAAGAUUGGGAAUGGUGAAGCUAUGCUCAAAGACAGGGGACUACCUUAUUGGCGGAAAUUGAUAUUAUAGGAAAUGCUGGAACAUGAUGGGAUACAUGCAUAUUGAUUAUGUUCAAAAUUUAUGGGAUGAUCAGAUUCUUCUUCUGUACUGCUCAAUUCUGUCCAUUGAAUCUUUGAAGAGUAAAAGAAGUCUCAAUCUGAAAGUUACAAAACUAAGGAUCGGGAUUCAAGCAACAAGAUUGUAAAUUGUAUUCGUGUCAAAAGUGGAAGUUAUAUAUCAGUUGUUAUAAUUGUUCUUCAUUCAUUUUGAUGUUUAUUUGUUGUUUUUAGAUAAUUUGUUGUGUUAACUAUGAGUAUGGUUUGUAUUAUCGAGUUUGAUUUUAGACAAUCAAUAAAGAUGUAUUUUUAGAGUUAUGAUAUUGAAUGAACUUUUGGUUUGAAA